ACACCUUUCCCCCUCCCUGUAUAUACCUGUGUUUUCUCUAGCCAGCUCCAAUUUGGAUUUUACUGAGAAGAAUCAGAACUAUAGUAAAGGGGAACGAAAAACAGUUUGACUACAUAAACCUAAUUGUGGAUGUUGGGCAAUACACAUUUCAUGGCUUGGAAAAGACAAUUACUUGUCUAUGAUUCCCCCAACAAUAAAUAAAAGAACCUUAGAGGGGAAACAUACUCCUUUUAGAAAUCGUAGAAGAGAGAGCAGAGGUCUCUUAACGGCCCAUGCCGACGUCAGAGGACAAGGACCGCAUCACGGACUGACGUCUGGCAGAGCAAGCCCAGUACCGGCGGUGUGGGGGAGCACUCUCUGGGGUGGGAGUGAUAAUGGUGGGUAUAGUGUGGCAGCUGCGCUAUGUGUCCAGACGUGUGUGUUUAUGUCUAUGUUUGGCCUUUGCCUAAGAGCUUCAGCUCAGUAAGGGACUCAGGUCUGAACGCCUUUGCUCCUGACUCCAAGAGACACGCGGGCUGGAAUUGCCAAGUCAAGGAAACUGCCGUCCGCUGGGCCAGUGAAACACUGGAGCCCGGGCAUCCUUUUACUAGGCUCUUCCCUGAGUGUUUUUAUUUCUUCAAACACUUCUAAGUGGCAGUGGUGCCAGGACCCUAAGAAUCAGCCCCCACAGAGGAAGAGCCUAUGUUCUAUCUGAACGGCACCAGCAAAUAAACUCCUGGAGGCCAGGGACUCUUCUGGUUGU
rnacentral:lncRNA from 1 species